rnacentral:rRNA from 1 species
UACGUAGGGUGCAAGCGUUACUCGGAAUUACUGGGCGUAAAGCGUGCGCAGGCGGUUAUGCAAGACAGAUGUGAAAUCCCCGGGCUCAACCUGGGAACUGCAUUUGUGACUGCAUAGCUGGAGUGCGGCAGAGGGGGAUGGAAUUCCGCGUGUAGCAGUGAAAUGCGUAGAUAUGCGGAGGAACACCGAUGGCGAAGGCAAUCCCCUGGGCCUGCACUGACGCUCAUGCACGAAAGCGUGGGGAGCAAACAGG